GGGGUUGUGGCUCAGUGGUAGAGCACUUGCCUAGCAUGUGUGAGGCCCUGGGUUCUAUUCUCAGCACCA
rnacentral:tRNA from 1 species